UAUCCUGUAUGAAAAUGCUAUUUUUGUUUUCAAAACACUUCCUGAUGUGUUCUCUUAUUUUCAUUUCAAAACAUUUUUAUAAGGACCCCGACAGGGUGAAAAGGCCACGCAGAUGCCAGGAGGGCAGAGGUGGCCUCGGAAGGCUUUGCGGCUGGAUGUCCUCAGGGCUCCUGACACCUGAGGCGGGCUCCCCUCUUGUUCCCAGGCCCAUCCAGCCCCUGUGGCAGGUGGCAGGGGCUGGGGGUGCUCCAGUCCUAGAGUCCCAGUUGGGGAUAGGCAGCCGAGGGCAGUCCCUGAACCUCCUUCGGAUUCUGAGCCUCUGGGUAUGGAGGCUAGAGGCUGCCUCCCAGGCACUGUCUUACAACCAUUUCUGUUGAACAAAAGAACCUUGCAGAACCCGGAGCCAAUCACUGGAAGGGUCAGAGCCUCCUAGGCAUCUUCCUCUUUGCAGCUGGGGUGCCCAGGGCCCGGCUGGAGUGACAGGCUCCCUGCGGUGAGUGCUGGCCAGGCUUUCCUGGGCAUCAGGGGCCUGCAGGGGAACUGGCACAGGGAGAGGCGGCCCAGGCUCCUCCCGCUUCGCUGCCCUCCUCCUCCCCUACCCUGCCCUGGAAGGUGGGUUUCCCUCGAGCCUGCACGCUGCCCCUCUGUUCUGCAUGGAAGCUGUCACCUGUCUCCUGUAGGUGAAUGAUUCCCAAGUCUACUGUCCCAACCUCAGCUCUCUUCCCCAGCCUUUAUCCGAGGCAUCCUGACCAUCUUUCCCCGGAGGUCUCUUCCAAAUCCCAUCCUCAAUUGAACGGAAACCCGUCUCAUGUUCACUCAGGAACCACUGGCUCCUCCAGUGCACAGAUUUGCAACCGAUUCCCAUGCCUCCUUUCUAGCCUGAAGCCCAGGACUCACCCGGGGCUCCCCUCUCUGCUCCACGCCAUUCAGCAAGCUUCCACGGAGCGCCUGCACGCUGUGCUUGCCACGGAGUAAAUACAAGCAGGACAUUUCAGCAAGCUUCCACGGAGCUUCCACAGAGCGCCUGCACGCUGUGCUCGCCACAGAGUAAAACACAAGCAGGACAUUUCAGCAAGCUUCCACGGAGCUUCCACGGAGCACCUGCACGCUGUGCUCGCCACGGAGUAAAACACAAGCAGGACAUUUCAGCAAGCUUCCACUGAGCUUCCACGGAGCACCUGCACGCUGUGCUCGCCACGGAGUAAAACACAAGCAGGACAUUUCAGCAAAGCUUCCACGGAGCUUCCACGGAGCGCCUGCACGCUGUGCUCGCCACGGAGUAAAACACAAGCAGGACAUUUCAGCAAGCUUCCACGGAGCUUCCACGGAGCGCCUGCACGCUGUGCUCGCCACGGAGUAAAACACAAGCAGGACAUUUCAGCAAGCUUCCACGGAGCUUCCACGGAGCACCUGCACGCUGUGCUCGACACCGAGUAACACAAGCAGGACAUGGAUCCUACAAUUAGCAACAGUAGACGGGCCGGGUAAUUGAACAUUACAAACAGCUGGGACCCUGAGGGGCAGUAGGACUCCAACCGCUUGUUUUGUACAUGAACAAGAGGAGACCCCAAGAGAUUAGAAGACUGCUCAAGGUCGCAAGCUAAAAAUGGGCAGAUGGGGCUGCGACCCUAGGUCUCCUUGGCCCCAGGAGUGCUCUUCCUGCGGGGUCACAGCCUUUCCCUCUCCAGGCACCGGGUUGAGCAGGCGGGAACGGCAAAACACAGACAGAAACCUCUCAUCAGGACCUCCAAGUUCUGCAGUUUUACCCCGUUUCAUUGCAGAAAUAAAACGAAUACAAGCAAACAUAUUUGCUGGUUGGCCUAUCAACAUCCCAAGAUUUCUGAGAGCUAAACACAGGACUUGGCACACACCUAAAUUGUAUCUGAUAUGGUUUGGCUGUGUCCCCACUCAAAUCCUAUCUUGAAUUGUAGCUCCCAUAAUUCCCACGUGUUGUGGGAGGGACCCGGUGGGAGGUAAUUGAAUCAUGGGGGCGGUUCCCCCAUACUGUUCUCGUGGUAGUGACUAAGUCUCACAAGAGCUGAUGAUUUUAUAAAAGGUUUCCCCUUUCACUUGGCACUCAUUUCUCUCUUCCCUGCAGCCAUGUAAGACCUGCCUUUCACCUUCUGCCAUGACUGUGAGGCCUCCCCUGCCACGUGGAACUGUGAGGCCAUUAAACCUCCUUUUCUUUGUAAAUUACCCAGUCUUGGGUAUGUCUUUAUCAGCAGCAUGACGAUGAACUAAUACAGUAUCACACGUAAAGAAACAAAAAGCUUAUCACUAUCAAACAAAGUGUUUACCAUAACAAAGUUUAAGGCUUGAACAUGUAUUCUUUAAGAUAAUGCAAAGAACAUACACUCUGGUAAUUUUAAUUUCAGCCUGAAAUGUCCUAUAUCCACACUGUUUCCUAAUUUCCUAGGGGGGAAAAUCCUAUUUAAUCUGCACCAUGUUCACUCCUCUGUCUGUUCUCCGCUGGCUACCCAGCUGCGGGAAUGUCUGAUUUUUCACUUGCUGAUUUAGAGGCUCGUAUGACACAUUCAACCUUUUAAAUAAAUCAUUCAUUUUUUUUUAAAGGUUGGCUAUGUCAUAGUGUUGUGAUGCACCCAAUUUUUAAAAUAACUGUUUAUUUGAUGUCAGGUACAUCAGACAGAAAAAUAAAUGUGACUUGGUAGAGCUU
ensembl:lncRNA novel transcript